UAUUUUUGACAUACUCUUGCUGUAUUUCCUGAUUUACUUUGUUGUUAAUUUUAUCCCCUUUGCUUACCCUCAGGUUCAGUAACUGUACAUAUGUUUUCCAUUGUUGUUGUAUGUUUUCUCUUCGUUGUUUUAUAGUUUCUUGUACGUUUGUCGUGUUAUAUGUUCCUACUCUUAGCCUGCACCUUGUCGUGGUGAGUGGGCUUUCAACCAAGACAGGCCGUACUAAAUGUUUAAAACCAGUGUUAUUAACUUAUUUUCUCUCUCAUGUAGUACGAUGUAGGACACUAGGGAGUGUCAUGGCUGUCUUUCUGUGGGCGCGAUGAUCCAAUUAACACUCUGUGGCUGAAAGAUUGCUGUUCAUUCCAUCUAACUCCUCAGACGUGCACACCUACUCUCCAUCAACUCAUCAACUCAACAGUAUAUAUACCCCGGCUCUCAAUCCACUCGCCAGAUCGUUCUUUCAGCUACGGUUCACCCACCUGCCUUCUUGGAUUCAAAGCCUCUCAAUCAACCAGGCUCACAUCGCAACUCUGCUCUGAUCAGCCGUCUCCCUUUCACUCUGCAGACCUUGUGAAUCAUCGUCUCAUCUCCCUUCCUCUGCAAUAAACCUCAUUACAAGUCAA